rnacentral:rRNA from 1 species
UACAGAGGGUGCGAGCGUUGUUCGGAAUUAUUGGGCGUAAAGGGCGCGUAGGCGGCGCCACAAGUCACUUGUGAAAACUCUGGGCUCAACUCAGAGCCUGCAAGCGAAACUGUGGUGCUGGAGUAUGGGAGAGGUGCGUGGAAUUCCCGGUGUAGCGGUGAAAUGCGCAGAUAUCAGGAAGAACACCUAUGGCGAAAGCAGCUCUCUGGGACGGUACUGACACUGAGACGCGAAAGCGUGGGGAGCGAACAGG